UGUUUGCUCUGUUGAAUCAACAAGGACAGUGUCUGAGUAAGGUAGCUCUUGUAAAGGUGCUCCUUCAUUGAUUAUACAUCCUCAACCGAUCAUAUUUUCUGAGCAAAUA